UUUUCCUACUACUGCAUUUACAGCUUUCAGAUACAUAUCUAUCUAUCUAUCUGUUGUUACUUGUGCCCACUUGGACCUAGUGGGGAGAUCGGCAGAGUCGGCGGCCGAGCCCACUGGGAACUAUGGAAGAUAGUUCUCACCCCACUCUAUUUCCAAUGAUAGGUACAGAGUUGCCGAGAGAGGACCGCGGCAAGGGCAUCGCGCCCGAUCAGUGAGGCCGUGGUAGUAUAGUAGCUUUCCUUUUUGCAUUAGUACACCUAUGUAUUGAGAGAGAUUCAUGUAGGUGAGGUUGGAGAGCUAUGUAUUUUGAAGAUCAAAUGUAUUCAUUUUGGAAAAUGGGGUAAAUGUAAAGAAUACAACUAUUGUAAUAGUUAGUAAAGUACUCUCUUUAUUUCACUCGUAUACCUUGUGAAUUACUUGCUCUUCUUGUUGUUGGCACUGUUUGUGCCCGCGUUGAAUGUGUAUGUUUAGAAUUUAAAGUUCUGGGUAAAUUCUUGUACACAUUCCUGUUGUUGAGCCUUGGGCGGACAGGGGGGGUGCUGUCCGUUCGGCGGUCCGUCGCCGCGGCCGAAUCGUGCCAAAUCGGUAGUGGUUUCGGGGCGGGGCAUGACAGUAUUUUGUGGUAUCAGAGCAAUAAGAGCAAGUAAAGAGAGUCUAGGAUGACCUAGGAGACCCUAGGUUGGUAAUCCCUAAGGUUAUAGGUGCGUGAGCGGAACGUGAACCUAUAGUGAUGGCGGAAGUUAAUUCGAUUGGGUCGAAGUUGGUAAUAUGUCUCUAGUUGUGAUUAGAGACGGAUUCGAGUUGUAUGAGUUCGUGACUUGAGGUGGUUGUGUCGGCAGCCGACGACAUGAUGACAAGAGCCUAGGACGAGUACGCUUGUGUGCUUCCGCCCGAUUUUGUUGAUAAGUCGUCAUGUGUCGUCAUUCUGACGAGGAAGUUGGUUAAAGUGAUUAACCAAGUGGUUGCAUUUCAGGAGCUAUGGCACCGAAGAGGCGCCCAAGUACGAGAUCUACUCCGGCACCACCACCCGAGGUGCCCGAGCAGACGGAGCCGAGCCUGAUGGAUCGGCUGCAGGCGCAAGUGACCGCGUUGACCAAUGUGGUGCAGCGUCAGGAGACCCGAUUCGAGAGGCUCCAGGAGCUUAUGGAGCGGUAGCUCCCGGCAGCUCCCGGCAGCUCCCGCGAUAGUGGCUGAGGGCGGUGGUCCGCCCGCGCCCUCGACCCGUGUACCCGAGGUGGCGGAGGGUGAGGGUAUAGCGACGAUUCCGGUGACGGCACGCCCACCGCCAGCGAUUGCACCACAGGCGGCGUCGGGAUCGGCUACACUCGAUGUGACAACCAAAGAGGUGGAAGGAGAGCGCGCGUUAGCGGCUCUUAUCAAGUUCAACAAGUUCCAUCCGCCAACUUUCGAGGGCGAGAAGGUGGAACCGGAGAUGGUCGAGUCUUGGAUCGACUCGAUGGAAACCCUCUUCGACGACUUGCGUACCUUGGAGAGGGACAAGGUGUACCUCGCCACCCAUUGCUUGGAGAAGGCGGCGAAGGUUUGGUGGAAGCGCGUUAAACGGGAUCGGCUUCCCGGCCUUCCGCCGAUGUUGUGGGAGGAAUUCAAGCGGGAGAUGUUCGCCAACUAUUUCCCCGAUACACUGAAGCGGAAGCUCAAGGAGAAAUUCCGCAAGUUGGAGCAAGGGGACCGCUCAGUGGCGGAGUAUGAACAAGAAUUCUCCCACAUCAUAGAUUGUGUCCCGGAUGUUGUCAAGGAUGACCGGGACCGGGCCGAGUGGUUCUUGCGAGGACUUCGGCCGGGAAUCUAUAAGGCCGUGCAAAUACUUAAGCUCACGACCUUUGCUGAGGUCUUUGAUCGAGCGCUAUGGGCGGAGCACGGAGACGCCCACGUUCGGGAGAAGCGUGAGCUUUUGGCGGAGUCCAAGGACAAGGGCAAGAAACGCCAAGGCGGCGGUAGUUCGGGGGGACAGACACGUUACAAGAAGCCCCCGAAGUAUGCGCGCACUCAACAGAAGAGCGGUGGAGUGCGGCGAUGCAUGAUAUGCGGCGGAGACCACCCGGUCUCGCGCUGUGAACAAGGCCGAGGCAAGUGCUACAAAUGUGGGCAGCCGGGACACUUCAUUCGAGAUUGCCCGGGAGGAGGAGCCUCACCUGCCCCUUCAAUUGCAUCGGCGCCGGCGAUUCCGGCUCACUAUGGAGGAGCUCCACCGACGGCCGCGUCGACUGGACGCGCGAUGAUGCCGCGUCAACCUGAGGUGGCGCGAUCGGCCCCGAGCGGACGGGUAUUCGCCGCUCAGGUCCAAGCUGAGGAACCUGCGGAGGCGGAGGAGCAUCGCCUUGUGGCAGGUAUGGUUUUAAUUAACGGAGUUCGCUCCAGGGCUUUAUUUGAUACAGGAGCCACGCAUUCAUUCAUAAGUAGAUCAUUCGCACGCAUGCAUGGCAUACAUAUAGAAGCGAGUGACAAGUGGCGAGUAGAGGGCCCUGGGUCGACAUUUAAUACCUACUCGGAGUGCGCCUCGUGUCCGGUGCAAAUAGGCGAAUGGAUUAUGCCAAUCCGGACGUUGGAACUCACGAAACUAGAGGCGUACGAUGUCAUAUUGGGUAUAGACUGGCUUUCGAAGUAUCAUGCAACGAUCGACUGCAAGAGCAGGGUGAUCACGUUCCGUGAGCCAGGACAAGAAGAAUUCACCUAUCAAGCUUGCCAGAGCUCGUGCUUCGUCGCGACGGUGUCGGCGACAAGGGCAAGAAAGUUGGUGAGCAACGGUUGUGCAGCAUUUUUGGCAACUGUUGUGGAAGUGGAACGAGUAGCUCCAACAUUGGAAGAGCUAUCGGUGGUGCGGGAGUUCCCGGAUGUGUUUCCCGCGGAGUUGCCGGGGAUACCGCCGGAUCGGGAGAUCGAGUUCGUCAUAGACUUGAUUCCCGGCACCGCACCGAUCUCGAAGGCUCCGUACCGCAUGGCGCCGGCAGAAUUAAAGGAGUUGAGGAGUCAACUGCAAGACCUCCUCGACAAGCAAUUUAUCCGGCCAAGUGUAUCACCGUGGGGAGCCCCGGUGUUGUUUGUACGGAAGAAGGACGGAUCGUUUCGACUCUGCGUGGACUACCGAGAAUUGAACAGAGUCACGAUCAAGAAUAAGUACCCACUACCCCGAAUCGAUGACUUGUUCGAUCAGUUGCAAGGGUCGUGCGUGUACUCGAAGAUAGAUUUGCAAUCCGGCUACCACCAAUUGAAGAUCAAGCCGGAGGACGUGCAGAAGACCGCGUUUCGUACGCGGUAUGGACAUUACGAAUUCACGGUCAUGCCAUUUGGGCUCACAAAUGCCCCAGCGGCAUUUAUGGAUUUGAUGAACCGUGUCUUCAGGAAGUUCUUGGAUCGAUUUGUCGUGGUCUUCAUAGACGACAUAUUGGUCUAUUCUCGUAGCGACGAGGAACAUGCCGAGCAUUUGAGAAUAGUGCUUCAAGUCCUCCGGGAGGAGAAGCUAUAUGCUAAGUUGAAGAAGUGUGACUUCUGGCUCCGAGAAGUCGCAUUUCUAGGGCAUGUAAUUUCCGCGGGUGGAGUUUCUGUAGACCCGAGGAAAGUUGAGGCAAUCAAGGAUUGGCCGCGCCCGACGAAUGUCACGGAGGUUCGAAGCUUCGUGGGCUUAGCGGGCUACUAUAGGCGGUUUGUGGAAGGCUUUUCAAAGAUAGUGAUUCCACUUACUCGUCUGACCCAGAAAGGCACCAAGUUCGUUUGGAGCGAAGAAUGCGACCGGAGUUUCAAAGAGUUGAAGCAAAGAUUGACUUCGACUCCGGUGCUCGCUCUACCGGUGCAGGGCGAGGACUUCGUGGUCUAUAGUGAUGCCUCCUAUCUUGGGUUGGGGUGUGUGUUGAUGCAAAACGGGAAGGUGAUUGCCUACGCAUCCCGUCAGCUGAAGAGCUAUGAAAAGAACUACCCCAUCCAUGAUUUGGAGCUAGCGGCGGUGAUUUUCGCCUUAAAGCUGUGGAGGCACUAUUUAUAUGGUGCCCACUGUGAGAUCUAUACCGACCACAAGAGCUUAAAGUACUUGUUUACUCAGAAGGAGCUCAAUAUGCGUCAGCGGCGGUGGUUGGAGCUGUUAAAGGAUUAUGAUGUCGAUAUCCUCUACCACCCCGGGAAGGCAAAUGUGGUCGCGGAUGCGCUGAGUAGGAAGUCGGCGAAGAAUCUCGCUUUUGAUAUUACCCAGUAAGCACCCCUAUGGCGGGAUAUGAAACGACUGGAUCUCGAAGUGGUUCCUCCCGAGAUUCCAGCCCAGUUGAUGGUACUCGUUGUCCAACCGACCUUGUUGGAGAGGAUCAAAGAUCUGCAACCUGCGGACCCAGAACUCCAGAAGGUGCGGCGAAACGUCGAGGAUGGUCGAGGCGGCGAUUUCAGUAUAAACGCCGAUGGUGUGCUUCGGUUUAAAAACCGAUGGUGUGUGCCGAAAGAUGGAGAGCUUCGCGAAUUGAUUCUACAAGAAGCACACNGACACUUCAUUCGAGAUUGCCCGGGAGGAGGAGCCUCACCUGCCCCUUCGAUUGCAUUGGCGCCGGCGAUUCCGGCUCACCAUGGAGGAGCUUCACCGACGGCCGCGUCGACAGGACGCGCGAUGAUGCCGCGUCAACCUGAGGUGGCGCGAUCGGCCCCGAGCGGACGGGUAUUCGCCGCUCAGGUCCAAGCUAAGGAACCUGCGGAGGCGGAGGAGCAUCGCCUUGUGGCAGGUAUGGUUUUGAUUAACGGAGUUCGCUCCAGGGCUUUAUUUGAUACAGGAGCCACGCAUUCAUUCAUAAGUAGAUCAUUCGCACGCAUGCAUGGCAUACAUAUAGAAGCGAGAGACAAGUGGCGAGUAAAGGGCCCUGGGUGGUCGCCAUUUAAUACCUACUCGGAGUGCGCCUCAUGUCCGGUGCAAAUAGGCAGAUGGAUUAUGCCAAUCCGGACGUUAGAACUCACGAAACUAGAGGCGUACGAUGUCAUAUUGGGUAUAGACUGGCUUUCGAAGUAUCAUGCAACGAUCGAUUGCAAGAGCAGGGUGAUCACGUUCCGUGAGCCAGGACAAGAAGAAUUCACCUAUCAAGCUUGCCAGAGCUCGUGCUUCGUCGCGACGGUGUCGGCGACAAGGGCAAGAAAGUUGGUGAGCAACGGCUGUGCGGCAUUUUUGGCAACCGUUGUAGAAGUGGAUCGAGUAGCUCCCAUGUUGGAGGAGAUAUUGGUGGUGCAGGAGUUUCUGGAUGUGUUUCCUACGGAGUUGCCGGGGAUACCACCGGAUCGGGAGAUCGAGUUCGUCAUAGACUUGGUUCCCGGCACCGCACCGAUCUCGAAGGCUCCAUACCGAAUGGCGCCGGCGGAAUUGAAGGAGUUAAGGAGUCAACUGCAAGACCUCCUCGACAAGCAAUUUAUCCGGCCAAGUGUGUCACCGUGGGGAGCCCCGGUGUUGUUUGUACGGAAGAAGGACGGAUCGUUUCGACUCUGCGUGGACUAUCGAGAAUUGAACAGAGUCACGAUCAAGAAUAAGUACCCACUACCCCGAAUCGAUGACCUGUUCGAUCAGUUGCAAGGGUCGUGUGUGUAUUCGAAGAUAGACUUACAAUCCGGCUACCACCAAUUGAAGAUCAAGCCGGAGGAUGUGCAAAAGACCGCGUUUCGCACACGGUAUGGACACUAUGAAUUCACGGUCAUGCCCUUUGGACUCACGAAUGCUCCAGCGGCAUUUAUGGACUUGAUGAACCGUGUCUUCAAAAAGUAUUUGGAUCGAUUUGUCGUGGUUUUCAUAGACGACAUAUUGGUCUAUUCGCGUAGCGACGAGGAACAUGCCGAGCAUUUAAGAAUAGUGCUUCAAGUCCUUCGGGAGGAGAAGCUAUAUGCUAAGCUGAAGAAGUGUGACUUCUGGCUUCGCGAGGUUGCCUUCUUAGGGCAUGUGAUUUCCGCGGGUGGAGUUUCUGUAGACCCGAGGAAAGUUGAGGCGAUCAAGGAUUGGCCGCGCCCGACGAAUGUCACGGAGGUUCGAAGCUUCGUGGGCUUAGCGGGCUACUAUAGGCGGUUUGUGGAGUGAUUCCACUUACUCGUCUGACCCAGAAAGGCACCAAGUUCGUUUGGAGCGAAGAAUGCGACCGGAGUUUCAACGAGUUGAAGCAAAGAUUGACUUCGACUCCGGUGCUCGCUCUACCGGUGCAGGGCGAAGACUUCGUGGUCUACAGUGAUGCCUCCUAUCUUGGGUUGGGGUGUGUGUUGAUGCAAAACGGGAAGGUGAUUGCCUACGCAUCCCGCCAGUUGAAGAGCUAUGAAAAAAACUACCCCAUCCAUGAUUUGGAGCUAGCGGCGGUAAUUUUCGCCUUGAAGCUGUGGAGGCACUAUUUAUAUGGUGCCCACUGCGAGAUCUAUACCGACCACAAGAGCUUAAAGUACUUGUUUAUUUAGAAGGAGCUCAAUAUGCGUCAGCGGCGGUAGUUGGAGCUGUUAAAGGAUUAUGAUGUCGAUAUCCUCUACCACCCCGGGAAGGCAAAUGUGGUCGCGGAUGCGCUGAGUAGGAAGUCGGCGAAGAAUCUCGCUUUUGAUAUUACCCAGUAAGCACCCCUAUGGCGGGAUAUGAAANAUGAUCGCGAGGCCACCUGGGAACUCGAGGAGCUGAUGAGAAAACACCAUCCUCACCUAUUUGAGGAGUAAGGUACGGAUUUGAAUUAAAAUAAAGAAUUGAGUUAGUUUCGAGGACGAAACUCCUUUUAAGGAGGGGGGAUGUAAGGAAGUGAAUUCUCGAAAUCCGAGGAUUGUACUUCGUCCAGGAUCGACUGACUGUCGAGAGAAUACCCUUUGUGGGAGUUAAGAAUGUCCGAAACACAAAAAGUGCCUUGGAGUUGAGUCCGCGAGAGCAAAUGAGGCAAACUGCAUCAUUGGGUUGAUGCUGCUCUCGGGGACCGGUCUCUGCAGGUGAGAGACCGGUUCCACUGGCUGGUUGUAGCAGGGUUGCAUGAUGCAACCGGUCCCUGGUAAGGAGGGACCGGUUCCCGAACAUUGUCCCAGCGAGAGAUGCCAAAAAUUGGCUAAGUCCUGAAAAUUUAGCUCUCGGGGACCGGUCUCUCAGGUGAGGACCGGUCUCCCAAGGACCGGUCUCCCGGGGAGAGACCUGUUCCCGAACGCGUGCGCCCGAGGGAAGCUCUCGGGGACCGGUCCCAAGUCGGGGAGACCGGUCCCUCCGCGCGAAAACUGCCCAGUGAGGGCUGUGCAAUGGAUGAAAAGUUGAGGGGUCUAAAUGCAAAAUGGCAUCUAUUAGAGUGGGCUGAGCCCUCUCUCUCCCUCACACCCUCUCAUUUUCUCUCUUUCUCACACUCUCUCUUGCUCCCUCUCUCUCUCUCUCUAGAAAGGAAAGAAGAAGAAGAACAAGAACAAGAAGGAGAGGAAGGAAAAGAAGAGGAAGAUCAGGAAGGAGAAGAAGAAGGAGACCAAGAGGAAGGCUUUGAGCACCUCCAUCUCCCUCUCCUCUUCCCAUUGGUGUAGCUCUUGAGGUAAGCUACUAAACCCUAGCUUUGUAAACUUAGGGUUUUUUGGGUUUUGAUAUCUUCGAAUGGGUCCAUAAUUGGACCUAAGCUAGCUCUAAAAAAGAUCAUCCCAAAGCAUGUAGGAGAUUUAUAGGUGGUUUGCUAUAGGUGCAAACCUUAGGGCUCCAAAUGAGGUUUUUUGUGAAAUAUUGAGAUUGUCUCAUUUUUGAAGCCUGGAACCUAUUGUUAGGUCACAAAACGGGGGGCGAAGUCGAUUUCGGCAUUUCGCGAACCGACGUGGAAGUUCUCGGCAAAAUCUGGGCCGGGGCUAGUAUUGAUUUGGCGAUGGAACGGCAUAAUAGCCUUUUCGUAAGAGCUUCGCCGAGAGGGAUUUUUUUUUCAAGCCUCUAUCACUCGAUUAGCGUGGGGGGUGUAAUCCGACACUUUUCGAAUCCUUUCUAUGUCUUAGUUGCAUUCAAUCUCAUCUCUUCAUGUUGCAUUGUAGGAUUGCCAUAUGUAGGUUCCAUUCCUUAUGGACUUCUAAUUGAUAACCUAGUGUACUUGGAACGCUUGGUAAUUUAGACAGGGAGGAUUGGGUUCGAGACGUGAAACCUAUGGUGCGAACGGACAGAGAGCAACCCGAUGGGGUAUUGAUGACAUAGGAAGUAGUACGAUACGUGUAUAGAACACGGUUGCUGCCGAAUAUAACUGAUGACAGAUGCUUAAUUAGUGUAAAUAACACUUAGAGGUCAUGGACCUAGGGUAGGUGGAUCCAAUUAGAAAAUGCCUUGUGAACAAUCGAAUUUAGAAAACUAUAAUAGCUAUUGCAUGAUGUUUGGGUAAUGAUUGAAUUCCGCGAUAUGUCGUGACCUUAGUGACGGGCUCCCACUUGGAGAGGAUCGUUGGGUUAUUGACCUAGUCUGUAGAGCCUCCUCACUCGAGAGGAUUUGGAUUGGGUGUUGACCUACGUAUACAGUGUAUCCUCACUGGAGAGGAUAGAUCUAGCUCACAGUCUGCGUUAGGGUCAUAGCCAUACCCAAUCCCCACUGGAGGGGAUUGUCGUCGAGUACUUCGAGUGUGCGAACUAGACCACUUGGAGUCCCGAUCACAUGGGGUCCGUAGACGGUCCCGGCCUGGGUGCAACUUGGAGCUCCCUCCCCACUUUGGGAUUUAAAAAACAAAAGAAAGAAGGUGAGUCAUAGGUGACCUAGGCCUUCGCACAGAUAUGGGGUAAAUAGGAAGGUUUAAAUGCAUGAACAUUGCUAUUCGUACAUGGAUCAGAAUUUGCUUAGCAUGAUACAAACCUUUAUUAUAUGAUUGCAUGCAUUCAUAUUCAUGAAUAUGAGCAUAGUAGCUAUGCUUCUACUAUUGCAUUUACAGCUUGCCGAUACAUAUCUAUCAUCUAUUCAGUUGUUACUUGUGCCCACUUGGACCUAGUGGGGAGAUCGGCAGAGUCGGCGGCCGAGUCCACUGGGAACUAUGGAAGAUAGUUCUCACCUCAUUCUAUUUCCAGUGGUAGGUACAGGGUUGCCGAGAGAGGACCGCGGCAAGGGCAUCGCGCCCGAUCAGUGAGGCCGUGGUAGUAUAGUAGCUUUCCUUUUUGCAUUAGCACACCUAUGUAUUGAGAGAGAUUCAUGUAGGUGAGGUUGGAGAGCUAUGUAUUUUGAAGAUCAAAUGUAUUCAUUUUGGAAAAUGGGGUAAAUGUAAAGAAUGCAACUAUUGUGAUAGUUAGUAAAGUACUCUCUUUAUUUCACUCGUAUAUCUUGUGGAUUACUUGCUCUUCUUGUUGUUGGCACUGUUUGUGCCCGCGUUGAAUGUGUAUAUUUAGAAUUUAAAGUCCUGGGUAAAUUCUUGUACACAUAUCUAUUGUUGAGCCUUGGGCGGACAGGGGGGUGCUGUCCGUUCGGCGGUCCGUCGCCGCGGCCUAAUCGUGCCAUAUCGGUAAUGGUUUCGGAGCGGGGCGUGAUAUCUCUGCUGAUUGGAAUUUCGAAAUCACCUAGAACAGCAUCUAAUCAAGGUAAACUUGAUUAGUAUUUAUGCAUAGAUAAGUUAAUUACUUGGAGAGGGAGUUAUAGGAAAUUCUUGUUAUUGGCAGCCUUGGUGACCUUGUUGUUGUUGGAGCUGAAUUCUUGUUAUUGGAGCAGCAAAGAAGGCUUCCAAAGCUGAAGUGAAUUAGAAGACAUGUUCUUAAACUUUUGUCUUUAUUCUUCUUUUAUCUAUCUUAUGCUUUUAUUUUUAAUUUCUUUUACUUUUUUUAUGUUUUAUUUUUUAACUUAUUUUUUUUUUAAUUUUUAUAUACUUUUAAUAUUUUUUUAUUCGCUUUAUUU
rnacentral:lncRNA from 1 species